UACGAAGGGACCUAGCGUAGUUCGGAAUUACUGGGCUUAAAGAGUUCGUAGGUGGUUGAAAAAGUUGGUGGUGAAAUCCCAGAGCUUAACUCUGGAACUGCCAUCAAAACUUUUCAGCUAGAGUAUGAUAGAGGAAAGCAGAAUUUCUAGUGUAGAGGUGAAAUCCGUAGAUAUUAGAAAGAAUACCAAUUGCGAAGGCAGCUUUCUGGAUCAUUACUGACACUGAGGAACGAAAGCAUGGGUAGCGAAGAGGAUUAGAUACCCUCGUAGUCCAUGCCGUAAACGAUGUGUGUUAGACGUUGGAAAUUUAUUUUCAGUGUCGCAGCGAAAGCGAUAAACACACCGCCUGGGGAGUACGACCGCAAGGUUAAAACUCAAAUGAAUUGACGGGGACCCGCACAAGUAGUGGAGCAUGUGGUUUAAUUCGAAGAUACGCGCAGAACCUUACCAACACUUGACAUGUUCGUCGCGACUCUAAGAGAUUAGAGUUUUCGGUUCGGCCGGACGAAACACAGGUGCUGCAUGGCUGUCGUCAGCCCGUGUCGUGAGAUGUUGGGUUAAGUCCCGCAACGAGCGCAACCCUCACUUUUAGUUGCCAUCAUUAAGUUGGGCACUCUGAAAGAACUGCCAGUGAUAAGCUGGAGGAAGGUGGGGAUGACGUCAAGUCCUCAUGGCCCUUACGUGUUGGGCUACACACGUGCUACAAUGGUAUCUACAACAGGAAGCAAGACUGCGAAGUUAAGCAAAUCCCUAAAAGAUACCUCAGUUCGGAUUGCACUCUGCAACUCGAGUGCAUGAAGCUGGAAUUACUAGUAAUCGUGGAUCAGCGUGCCACGGUGAAUGCGUUCCCGGGUCU
rnacentral:rRNA from 1 species